CCUACGGGCGGCAGCAGUAGGGAAUAUUGCACAAUGGGGGAAACCCUGAUGCAGCAACGCCGCGUGAAGGAUGAAGGUUUUCGGAUUGUAAACUUCUUUUGUUAGAGAAGAUAAUGACGGUAUCUGACGAAUAAGCACCGGCUAACUACGUGCCAGCAGCCGCGGUAAUACGGAGGGUGCAAGCGUUACUCGGAAUCACUGGGCGUAAAGGGCGCGUAGGCGGGUUAGCAAGUCAGAUGUGAAAUCCUGGGGCUUAACCAUGGAACUGCAUUUGAAACUGUUAAACUAGAGUACGGGAGAGGUAGGUGGAAUUCUUGGUGUAGGGGUAAAAUGCGUAGAGAUCAGGAGGAACACUCAUUGCGAAGGCGACCUGCUAGAACAUAACUGACGCUGAGGCUCGAAAGCGUGGGGAGCAAACAGGAUUAGAUACCCCUGUAGUC
rnacentral:rRNA from 1 species